UUAAUAAAGAGUUUGAUCCUGGCUCAGGACGAACGCUGGCGGCGCGCCUAACACAUGCAAGUCGAGCGGACUGCGUCCGCAGG
rnacentral:rRNA from 1 species